rnacentral:rRNA from 1 species
UACGUAGGGGGCAAGCGUUGUCCGGAAUCAUUGGGCGUAAAGAGCGUGUAGGCGGCCCGAUAAGUCCGCUGUGAAAGUCCAGGGCUCAACCCUGGAAUGCCGGUGGAUACUGUCGGGCUCGAAUCCGGAAGAGGUGAGUGGAAUUCCUGGUGUAGCGGUGAAAUGCGCAGAUAUCAGGAGGAACACCAAUGGCGAAGGCAGCUCACUGGGACGGUACCGACGCGUGAGGAGCGAAAGCUAGGGGAGCGAACAGG